rnacentral:misc_RNA from 1 species
AGGCUGUUGAGAACUUGCAGGGAUGAUGCUGAUGCCCUUUUGACAUGCAUAACUUUUCUUGGGGAUUCCUCUCAUAUUGCAGUUGGCAGUCAUACUGGAGAGCUUAAGAUUUUUGACUCCAACAGCAACAGUGUGCUGGAGAGCUGCACAAGCCACCAGUCUCCUUUGACACUCAUUCAGUCAUAUCUUUCUGGUGAAACACAACUGCUGCUCUCUUCAAGCUCCCAGGAUGUGCGCUUGUGGGAUGCCUCUUCAAUCUCAGGUGGACCUAUGCAUUCACUUGAAGGAUGCAAGGCUGCAAGGUUUAGUAAUUCUGGGAGCAUAUUUGCCACCUUGACAACUGAGAUAGCUCGACGAGAAAUUCUCCUUUAUGAUGUCCAAACUUGUCAUGUGGAAUCAACCCUGUCAGAUACAAUUGGUAGUUCUACUGGUCGGGGGCAUGUAUAUUCCCUUAUACACUUCAGCCCUUCAGACACAAUGUUGCUUUGGAAUGGGGUCUUGUG